AUCCAUGCUUGGAAGAGAUGCUUUGGGAAAGACUAAGUCCAGAUCCAACCCUUCAACUGCUAUCCUGCACCCACUUUCCUGGGAGUAAAGGCCUAACCAACUCUAUUACUCCAGAAGACUCCCUCUGAUUUCAGAAGUGCACUCCAAGUCUGCUUUGAGGAGGUGGCUAUGUAAUUUCCCAAAAGGAAUGGAAUCUCCUGGAUCCUGGCCAGAGGACUUCUUACAAGGAAGUCAGGAUGGAGGAUGAUGGGAAGGAGGCCUCUCUGGAUGACACGUAUUCUGUGGGACAUCAUUCACAGACUGCUGAGCCAUGAAACUCACAGCCUACACUGUAUGUGAGUAGACCAAGAGACAUGACAGGGUUCAGUUGACAGUGGGAAUGUUCAGUUGGUUGAGAGUUAUGGUUGAAGCACCAGUAUCAUUUAUUUCUCUGUGUGUGUGUGUGUGUGGACUACAUUUGGAGCUGUGAAGCAGUUGAUUAGAAGUCAGAGAGGAAUAUAUUUUGCUAUAUCAUACUGUAUACAUUCUUCCCUCCACAUUUACAGUUUUGAUUAUUCACAGAUUUUAUUACUAUUUUCUCUCUAGAAAUAUCUAGGUUCAAACAGUGGAUGCUUGAAUCCGUGUAUAAAAAAUCAGUGUAUAAGAAGGGCCGACUGUAUUGGAUUAUUUGUCCUUUGCGUGUGAAAGAAAGUGCUGGUCUUGGGCCAACAUUACCUCUUUAUCUGACUAGGCAUUCUUUGCCUGGAGACAGAGGAAAAGGAUUCACACCCUUUCUGCAAUCAGUCCAGCCAGUCUUUUCUUCUCCUACCCAUGCCACAGCUGCGGUGGUUGCAAACCAAUUCCAAGCAUUCUUGGAU